rnacentral:rRNA from 1 species
UACAACUUUCAGCAAUGGAUCUCUUGGCUCUCGCAUCGAUGAAGAACGCAGCGAAUUGCGAUAAGUAAUGUGAAUUGCAGAUUUCCAGUGAAUCAUCGAAUCUUUGAACGCACCUUGCGCCCCUUGGUAUUCCGAGGGGCAUGCCUGUUUGAGUGUCAU